AGGGUCUGAUUCAGGUGAUUUUUCAAGGGCCUGUGAUAAAUAUUUUUUUCUUUUGCUGUAUCUCAUUUUAAAUUGCUUAUUACGAGUCUCUUUGUUGUUUUUCCUCCUGUUGGUUUCAAUAGAAUGUGUUCAAUUCAUGGUUGAAAUAAAUUAAAUUCAUGAUAAUUUUUUUUAUUUCUGGGACUCUUUUUCAUCAGGGUUCUGGUGCUUAAUUUUAUUUUCAUUGAUGUCAUUAUUUCAAUCUUCUGCCUGCCCGAAGGUUUCCACUGUUUGUUUAAUGGUUCUUUAAGUAAUAUUAUGGUAGCUUUGAAUAUUCUUAUAGUGGAUGAUGUUUCUUGACCUUAAAUGCCUUUGAUUUUAAAGGGUAGAAGAUGGUUUCCACGUCCAAUUCAUGAGCUGGAGCUGAUAAGUUGCUAGUGAUAU
rnacentral:misc_RNA from 1 species